rnacentral:rRNA from 1 species
UACGUAGGGUGCAAGCGUUAAUCGGAAUUACUGGGCGUAAAGCGUGCGCAGGCGGUUUUGUAAGUCAGAUGUGAAAUCCCCGGGCUUAACCUGGGAACUGCGUUUGAAACUACAAGGCUAGAGUGUGGCAGAGGGGGGUGGAAUUCCACGUGUAGCAGUGAAAUGCGUAGAGAUGUGGAGGAACACCGAUGGCGAAGGCAGCCCCCUGGGUUAACACUGGCGCUCAGGCACGAAAGCGUGGGGAGCAAACAGG